AACGUAGGACGCAAGCGUUCUCCGGAGUUACUGGGCGUAAAGCGCGGGCAGGCGGUCACUCAAGUCUGAUGUGAAAUCUCUCCGCUCAACGGGGAGCAGCCAUUGGAAACUGGGCGACUGGAGUCUGACAGAGGUAGGCGGAAUUCCGGGUGGAGUGGUGAAAUGCGUAGAUAUCUGGAGGAACACCGGUGGCGAAGGCGGCAUCCUGGACCGGCAUUGACGCUGAGGUGCGAAAGCGUGGGGAGCAAACAGG
rnacentral:rRNA from 1 species